UUCAUUGGUCCUUUCCACAAAUGGUGGGUGACCUUUUAUUUGCUUGGCACGGUGCUCAUUUUGGAAAGACAAGGAUGGUGCUUUGGAGAAUGACUCUAUUGGUAGUUUGGUGGGCUGUUUGGGAGGAAAGUGUUGAGAAGUGCUUCACAAACAAACCGAAAUAGAUGAAGCGAACCUCCCAAAGGGCAAGACUUCUUGUGAUCGAAUGGGCUUCCUGUCUUUCAAGUCUUGUAAGAUGUAAUUUUCUUUUUCUUGGGAUGUAGCUGGGUCACCGCCUUGGCACCUCUGUCUGUUGUCUGUUUUGUUGUUUUCCUUUUUCUUCUUCAAUAAAAGCUCAUUAUCUUUCAAAAAA